rnacentral:rRNA from 1 species
GUGGGGAAUAUUGGACAAUGGGCGAAAGCCUGAUCCAGCCAUGCCGCGUGUGUGAAGAAGGUCUUCGGAUUGUAAAGCACUUUAAGUUGGGAGGAAGGGUUGUACGUUAAUACCGUGCAAUUUUGACGUUACCGACAGAAUAAGCACCGGCUAACUUCGUGCCAGCAGCCGCGGUAAUACGAAGGGUGCAAGCGUUAAUCGGAAUUACUGGGCGUAAAGCGUGCGCAGUCGGUUAUAUAAGACAGAUGUGAAAUCCCCGGGCUCAACCUGGGAACUGCAUUUGUGACUGUAUAGCUAGAGUACGGUAGAGGGUAGUGGAAUUUCCUGUGUAGCGGUGAAAUGCGUAGAUAUAGGAAGGAACACCAGUGGCGAAGGCGACUACCUGGACUGAUACUGACACUGAGGUGCGAAAGCGUGGGGAGCAAACAGGAUUAGAAACCCUAGUAGUCC